rnacentral:rRNA from 1 species
CCGGUAAACGGCGGCCGUAACUAUAACGGUCCUAAGGUAGCGAAAUUCCUUGUCGGGUAAGUUCCGACCUGCACGAAUGGCGUAAUGAUGGCCAGGCUGUCUCCACCCGAGACUCAGUGAAAUUGAACUCGCUGUGAAGAUGCAGUGUACCCGCGGCAAGACGGAAAGACCCCGUGAACCUUUACUAUAGCUUGACACUGAACAUUGAGCCUUGAUGUGUAGGAUAGGUGGGAGGCUUUGAAGUGUGGACGCCAGUCUGCAUGGAGCCGACCUUGAAAUACCACCCUUUAAUGUUUGAUGUUCUAACGUUGGCCCGUUAUCCGGGUUGCGGACAGUGUCUGGUGGGUAGUUUGACUGGGGCGGUCUCCUCCUAAAGAGUAACGGAGGAGCACGAAGGUUGGCUAAUCCUGGUCGGACAUCAGGAGGUUAGUGCAAUGGCAUAAGCCAGCUUGACUGCGAGCGUGACGGCGCGAGCAGGUGCGAAAGCAGGUCAUAGUGAUCCGGUGGUUCUGAAUGGAAGGGCCAUCGCUCAACGGAUAAAAGGUACUCCGGGGAUAACAGGCUGAUACCGCCCAAGAGUUCAUAUCGACGGCGGUGUUUGGCACCUCGAUGUCGGCUCAUCACAUCCUGGGGCUGAAGUAGGUCCCAAGGGUAUGGCUGUUCGCCAUUUAAAGUGGUACGCGAGCUGGGUUUAGAACGUCGUGAGACAGUUCGGUCCCUAUCUGCCGUGGGCGCUGGAGAACUGAGGGGGGCUGCUCCUAGUACGAGAGGACCGGAGUGGACGCAUCACUGGUGUUCGGGUUGUCAUGCCAAUGGCACUGCCCGGUAGCUAAAUGCGGAAGAGAUAAGUGCUGAAAGCAUCUAAGCACGAAACUUGCCCCGAGAUGAGUUCUCCCUGACUCCCUGAG